GGCCCCAUAUGCCACUCUCUGCCUCCCUGACCCUUGUGGCAGAUGGAGCUGCUCAUCGCCUUUGAGGUCAUCGGGGUGACCCUGCACACAAGGGACCUUCAGGUGCAGCUGCAGCUCUCCACGUCGAGUCACCAGGACAACCUGUGGCCCAUGACCCUCACUCUGCUGGUGGACUAUACACUCCAGACCUCGCUUACCAUGGUAAAUCACCGGCUACAAAGCUUCUUUGGGGGGACAGUGAUGGGUGAGUCUGGCAUGAAAACUGUGGAGGAUGUAGGAAGCCCCCUCAAGUAUGAAUUCCAGGUGGGCCCAAUGGGGGAGGGGCUGGUGGGCCUGGGGACCCUGGUCCUAGGUCUGGAGUGGCCCUAUGAAGUCAGCAAUGGCAAGUGGCUGCUGUAUCCCACGGAGAUCACCGUCCAUGGCAAUGGGUCCUGGCCCUGCCGACCACCUGGAGACCUUAUCAACCCUCUCAACCUCACUCUUUCUGACCCUGGGGACAGGCCAUCAUCCCCACAGCGCAGGCGGCGACAGCUGG
rnacentral:sRNA from 1 species